GUCUACAGCCAUACUACCCUGAACGCGCUCGAUCUUGGAAGCUAAACAGGGUCAGGUCUGGUUAGUACUUGGAUGGGAGGCUGUCUGGGAAUACCAGAUGGCUUUUGGCU
rnacentral:rRNA from 1 species